rnacentral:rRNA from 1 species
GAUGAACGCUAGCUACAGGCUUAACACAUGCAAGUCGAGGGGAAACGACAUCGAAAGCUUGCUUUUGAUGGGCGUCGACCGGCGCACGGGUGAGUAACGCGUAUCCAACCUGCCCAUCACUUGGGAAUAACCUUGCGAAAGUAAGACUAAUACCCAAUGAUAUCCCACGAAGGCAUCGGAAUGGGAUUAAAGAUUUAUCGGUGAUGGAUGGGGAUGCGUCUGAUUAGCUUGUUGGCGGGGUAACGGCCCACCAAGGCAACGAUCAGUAGGGGUUCUGAGAGGAAGGCCCCCCACAUUGGAACUGAGACACGGCCCAAACUCCUACGGGAGGCAGCAGGGGGGAAUAUUGGUCAAUGGGGGGGAGCCUAAACCAGCCAAGUAGGGGGCAGGAAGACGGCCCUUUGGGUUGUAAACUUUUUUUAUAAGGGAAAAAAGGGGGUCACGUGUGACUUUUGGCAUGUACCUUAGAAAAAAGGACCGGCUAAUUCCGU